AUCUGUGCGCUAUGUCUUCUCCUUUCAUGCAGACCCAGGAAACUUGGUUGAAGAUGGAAGUGUCUCAAGAUGGAAGGAACCUGUGUCCUGACCGACUGUGUGCAGUGGACCAUAUAUGCCUUUGGAGAAACAUGUUGGAUGGUGAUAUGAACACCAGUGAACAAAGUCAUUAUUCUGCCAGUUGAUCGUUUUGCAGUGAAAAGAGCCGGCUGAGUAUGUCCAUAUGAGUUUGCCAUUCAACAGGACUUUUCCUUCUCUGGCAUUCUGGUAGUAAGUACAUGUCUUGUGAUCUAAACUAAGGUGAAACUGAAAAAAAUCUUGUGUCUUAAAUCAUAGAGCAGAAGUCCAUAAUCUGAUAUGAAAUCAUGAAGAUAAAUAGUAUAUUUUGGGGCUAUUAGAUAACAUAGAUUCUCCAGUACCAUUUUUACCUCUGAAAUCACCUCCUUCCAUACUUCCAUUCCUUCUUUCUUCUUUUCUUCGCUCAUUCUUCAGCUAAAUGUUGGAGAAGGCUAGCGAGUCUCUUUAAUUAAAUUGCUAGUCCAGCUUCAUAGCUCUAUCCAAAAUUUUACAUGUCAUCUAUUCAUGGACACUUCAAAAUCUAGUACACCGAAAACUCAAACAAUGAUUUUUCACUCCAUUAUCCCUCCCAAAUCUUGUCUUUCUCUAGGAUUCCCAGUUCUAGUAAAUGACAUCACCAGUUGAACAAGCUAGAGAACUAAGAGUUAUCUUUGACGUAAUUUUUGCCCCCCUGCCUAAUUCAAUUAAAUGACAGUUCUUUUGAUUUCUUUACUUAAACAUCUCUCAUAUUAAUCUAUUUCUACUCCAUCUGCACUUAUAGCACAGCAUAUUAACCCACAGUACUGCAACCUUGUGCCUAAACUAUUGCACCUAGCUGGUACUGCCUUCAUUUUGGAACCCCUCCAAUAUAAUCUCCAUCCUCUAGCUGGAAUAAUCC